UACAGAGGUCCCAAGCGUUGUUCGGAUUCACUGGGCGUAAAGGGUGCGCAGGUGGGUUUGCAAGUUCGAUGUGAAAGCCCCGGGCUUAACCCGGGAAUGGCAUUGGAUACUGCAGAUCUGGAGGAUCGGAGGGGGGACUGGAAUUCUUGGUGUAGCAGUGAAAUGCGUAGAUAUCAAGAGGAACAUCAGUGGCGAAGGCGAGUCCCUGGACAACACCUGACACUGAGGCACGAAAGCUAGGGGAGCAAACAGG
rnacentral:rRNA from 1 species